rnacentral:lncRNA from 1 species
GUGGCCUCCAACUGCUUUUAAAUGCUAGUAAAACUAAAUGCAUGCUCUUCAACCGAUCGCUGCCCGCACCCUCCCGCCCGUCCAGCAUCACUACUCUGGACGGUUCUGAUUUAGAACAUGUGGACAACUACAAAUACUUAGGUGUCUGGUUAGACUGUAAACUCUCCUUCCAGACUCACAUUAAACAUCUCCAAUCCAAAAUUAAAUCUAGAAUCGGCUUCCUAUUUCGCAACAAAGCAUCCUUCACUCAUGCCGCCAAGCAUACCCUCAUAAAACUGACCAUCCUACCGAUCCUUGACUUCGGCGAUGUCAUUUACAAAAUAGCCCCCAACAGUCUACUCAGCAAACUGGAUGCAGUCUAUCCCAGUGCCAUCCGUUUUAUCACCAAAGCCCCCAUAUACUACCCACCACUGCAACCUGUAUGCUGUCGUUGGCUGGCCCUCACUACAUAUCCAUCGCCAAACCCACUGGCUCCAGGUCAUCUAUAAGUCUUUGCUAGGUAAAGCCCCGCCUUAUCUCAGCUCACUGGUCACCAUCGCAACACCCACCCGUAGCAUGCGCUCCAGCAGGUAUAUUGCAUUGGUCAUCCCCAAAGCCAACACUUCCUUUGGCCGCCUUUCCUUCCAGUUCUCUGCUACCAAUGACUGGAACGAAUUGCAAAAAUCACUGAAGCUGGAGUCUUAUAUCUCCCUCUCUAAAUUUAAGCAUCAGCUGUCAGAGCAGCUUACCGAUCGCUGCAGCUGUACACAGACAAUCUGUAAAUAGCCCAUCCAACCAACUACCUCAUCCCCAUUUUGUUAUUUAUCUUCUUGCUCUUUUGCACCCCAGUAUCUCUACUUGCACAUCAUCAUCUGCACAUCUAUCGCUCCAGUGUUAAUGCUAAGUUGUAAUUAUUUUCGCCUCUAGGGCCUAUUUGUUGCCUUACCUCCCUACUCUUCUACAUUUGCACACACUGUACAUAGAUCUUUCUAUUUUUCUUUUAUUUUGUGUUAUUGACUGUACGUUUGUUUAUGUGUAACUAACUCUGUGUUGUUGUUUUUGUCGCACUGCUUUGCUUUAUCUUGGCCAGGUCACAGUUGUAAAUGACAACUUGUUCUUAACUGGCCAACCUGGUUAAAUAAAGGUGAAAUAAAAAUAAAUAAAAGUCGUCCCUUUACCUUUCUGUGACCAGAGUGGUGUUAAAUCUGUUCUUGGGUCAGGUCUUAGUAACACACACUUACUACUUAACUUACGUCUCUCUUUAUAUAGUAUUGUACUAGAUCUGUCUGAGGCCAGUUUUUAAUAACAAUCACCUAUAUAGUAUUAGAUCUGUUCUGAGACCAGGUCUUACCUUGUCUCUCUGACUCCAGAGUGGCGGCUCUAUAGUAUUAGAUCUGUUCUGAGACCAGGUCUUACCUUGCCUCUCUGACUCCAGAGUGGCGGCUCUAUAGUAUUAGAUCUGUUCUGAGACCAGGUCUUACCUUGCAUCUCUGGCUCCAGAGUGGUGGCUCUAUAGUAUUAGAUCUGUUCUGAGACCAGGUCUUACCUUGCCUCUCUGACUCCAGAGUGGUGGCUCUAUAGUAUUAGAUCUGUUCUGAGACCAGGUCUUACCUUGCCUCUCUGGCUCCAGAGUGGGGGCUCCAGCUGACCGCGGGGCAGCAGGCCCGUCUCCAGGCAGGACAGGAAGGCCAGGAGGUGGCCGCCGGGGGGGAAGUGGAGAGGGGGGUGCUGGAUGCCAUCCUGACUAACCAGAACCAAAGUCCCACCAUAGUCCG